UGGGGAAUAUUGCACAAUGGGCGAAAGCCUGAUGCAGCGACGCCGCGUGAGUGAUGAAGUAUUUCGGUAUGUAAAGCUCUAUCAGCAGGGAAGAAAAUGACGGUACCUGACUAAGAAGCUCCGGCUAAAUACGUGCCAGCAGCCGCGGUAAUACGUAUGGAGCAAGCGUUAUCCGGAUUUACUGGGUGUAAAGGGAGUGUAGGCGGUCUAAAAAGUCUGAUGUGAAAACCCGGGGCUCAACCGCGGGAUUGCAUUGGAAACUUUUAGACUAGAGUAUCGGAGAGGCAAGCGGAAUUCCUGGUGUAGAGGUGAAAUUCGUAGAUAUCAGGAAGAACAUCGGUGGCGAAGGCGGCUUGCUGGACGACAACUGACGCUGAGGCUCGAAAGCGUGGGAAGCGAACAGG
rnacentral:rRNA from 1 species